AAAACAUGUCUUUUUGAAAAUAAUAUAAAGUCUAAUCUGCCCACUGAUAAUUUAUUGAAGGGCUGCAGUAUAUUGACUGUACAAAGGUAGCAUAAUCAUUAGUCAUUUAAUUGAUGACUUGUAUGAAGGAUUGGAUGAGAUAUAUACUGUCUCUUAGUUAAUUAUAAAAUUUAAUUUUUUUAUUAAAAAGUUAAAAUAUUUUAAAAAGACGAGAAGACCCUAUAGAGUUUUAUAAAUAAAUAGAUUGAUUUUAUUUUGUAAAAUAAUAUUGAAAUUUAAUAAUUUAUUUUGUUGGGGUGAUAAAAAAAUAAAUAAAACUUUUUUUACAUAAAAACAUUUAUAAGUGAAUAAAUGAUCCAAUAAUAUUGAUUAUAAGAAAAAAUUACCUUAGGGAUAACAGCGUAAUUUUUUUUUUUAGUUCAAAUAAGAAAAAGAGUUUGCGACCUCGAUGUUGGAUUAAGAUAAAAUUUAAAUGUAGUAGUUUAAAAUUUUGAUCUGUUCGAUCAUUAAAAUCUUACAUGAUCU
rnacentral:rRNA from 1 species